rnacentral:piRNA from 1 species
UGUGAUAAAAUACCACGACUAAAGCCUGAC